UACGGGGGGGGCAAGCGUUGUUCGGAAUUACUGGGCGUAAAGGGCUCGUAGGCGGCCAACUAAGUCGGAUGUGAAAUCCCCGGGCUUAACCUGGGAACUGCAGUCGAGACUGUCUAGCUAGAGUAUGGGAGAGGGAAGUGGAAUUUCAGGUGUAGCGGUGAAAUGCGUAGAUAUCUGAAGGAACAUCAGUGGCGAAAGCGACUUCCUGGACCAAUACUGACGCUCAUGUGCGAAAGCGUGGGGAGCAAACAGG
rnacentral:rRNA from 1 species